GACGAACGCUGGCGGCGUGCUUAACACAUGCAAGUCGAACGGAAAGGCCCUGCUUUUGUGGGGUGCUCGAGUGGCGAACGGGUGAGUAACACGUGAGUAACCUGCCCUUGACUUUGGGAUAACUUCAGGAAACUGGGGCUAAUACCGGAUAGGAGCUCCUGCUGCAUGGUGGGGGUUGGAACGUUUCGGCGGUUGGGGAUGGACUCGCGGCUUAUCAGCUUGUUGGUGGGGUAGUGGCUUACCAAGGCUUUGCCGGGUAGCCGGCCUGAGAGGGUGACCGGCCACAUUGGGACUGAGAUACGGCCCAGACUCCUACGGGAGGCAGCAGUGGGGAAUAUUGCACAAUGGGCGGAAGCCUGAGGCAGCAACGCCGCGGGCGGGAUGACGGCCUUCGGGUUGUAAACCGCUUUCGCCUGUUACGAAGCGUGAGUGACGGUAAUGGGUAAAGAAGCACCGGCUAACUACGUG
rnacentral:rRNA from 1 species